rnacentral:rRNA from 1 species
UGGGGAAUUUUGGACAAUGGGCGCAAGCCUGAUCCAGCCAUGCCGCGUGCGGGAAGAAGGCCUUCGGGUUGUAAACCGCUUUUGUCAGGGGAGAAAUCUUCUGAGUUAAUACCUCGGGAGGAUGACGGUACCUGAAGAAUAAGCACCGGCUAACUACGUGCCAGCAGCCGCGGUAAUACGUAGGGUGCAAGCGUUAAUCGGAAUUACUGGGCGUAAAGCGUGCGCAGGCGGUUUUGUAAGACAGAGGUGAAAUCCCCGGGCUCAACCUGGGAACUGCCUUUGUGACUGCAAGGCUUGAGUGCGGCAGAGGGGGAUGGAAUUCCGCGUGUAGCAGUGAAAUGCGUAGAUAUGCGGAGGAACACCGAUGGCGAAGGCAAUCCCCUGGGCCUGCACUGACGCUCAUGCACGAAAGCGUGGGGAGCAAACAGGAUUAGAUACCCUGGUAGUCCACGCCCUAAAACGAUGUCAACUGGUUGUUGGGAAGGUUCCUUCUCAGUAACGUAGCUAACGCGUGAAGUUGACCGCCUGGGGAGUACGGCCGCAAGGUUG